UAGGGAAUCUUCCGCAAUGGACGCAAGUCUGACGGAGCAACGCCGCGUGAGUGAAGAAGGAUUUCGGUUCGUAAAACUCUGUUGUUAGAGAAGAACAGCGCAUAGAGUAACUGUUAUGCGUGUGACGGUAUCUAACCAGAAAGCCACGGCUAACUACGUGCCAGCAGCCGCGGUAAUACGUAGGUGGCAAGCGUUGUCCGGAUUUAUUGGGCGUAAAGCGAGCGCAGGCGGUUAGAUAAGUCUGAAGUUAAAGGCAGUGGCUCAACCAUUGUAGGCUUUGGAAACUGGUUAACUUGAGUGCAGAAGGGGAGAGUGGAAUUCCAUGUGUAGCGGUGAAAUGCGUAGAUAUAUGGAGGAACACCGGUGGCGAAAGCGGCUCUCUGGUCUGUAACUGACGCUGAGGCUCGAAAGCGUGGGGAGCGAACAGG
rnacentral:rRNA from 1 species